UGUUGACUGGAUUUAAGUUGGGUUUCCUUAAGUAAUAGUAAGGGUUCUAAAAGGAUGAAGGUGUGAAGUCCAAAGAGAUGGCUGCUAGAGACGCAAGCCUUCCCACCAUUUUUUUUUUUUUUUUGAUGUUUUUUUCUUCACAGAUGAAAUAUAAUUUGAUGUUUGCCCUUGUUUGAAUACUCCAUGAAGAUGAGGAAAAUAUAUGUUUGUGUCUAACAAUGUCUGGCAUGUGAAAACCCCAACAAUUUAAAGGUUAAAGUGCUUUCCCUUGGUUACAUGCUUUGGAUAUCAAUGCAUUUUUUUCCACAAAACCUUAUUGAAGAGCUGAAACAACCACAUUCAAGAACCACUUCCCUUGUUCCUGUGAAAGGCUAUAAAAAACAAAUUGAGAAAUAAACA